UACGGCCGUAUCACGUUGAAACGUCGGUUCCCGUACGAUUACCGAAGUUAAGCAACGUCGAGUUUGGUUCGUACCUAGAUGGGUGGACGCUUGUGAAUACCAGGGGCUGUAA